rnacentral:rRNA from 1 species
UACCAAACAGCUAGCAGCCCUAAAAACACAACAAACCACCAUAACUAAACCCAAAUACACUAACCAUAACAAAACAAAAUAUUUAACCUCCAAGUAUGGAAGACAGAAAAGACUAUAUACGCAAUAGAGAAAGUACCGCAAGGGAACGCUGAAAAAGAAAUGAAAAAAAUCAGUUAAGUUAAAAAAAGCAGAGAUUAUACCUCGUACCUUUUGCAUCAUGAUUUAGCAAGCCCCCUCAAGCAAAACGUCCUUUAAGUUUGACACCCCGAAACUACGUGAGCUACUCCAAGACAGUCUACAACAGGACCAACCCGUCUCUGUGGCAAAAGAGUGGGAAGAGCUUUGAGUAGAGGUGAUAAACCUACCGAACCUAGUUAUAGCUGGUUACCUGAAAAUUGAAUUUAAGUUCAGCCUCCCAAAUUCUCCAUACAACACACCACCUUAGUUAACAAAGAACUUUGAGAGAGUUACUUAAAGGGGGAACAGCUCCUUUAAGACAAGAUACAACUUUUACCAGAAGGAUACGGCUCAUUAUAUCUAAAGGCAUUUUAUACCUGUGGGCUUAAAAGCAGCCAUCCUAACAGAAAGCGUCAAAGCUCGUAUAACACAAUCAACCUAUUAUCCUGAUAAUUAUACCCCAAUCCUCUAACCCUACCAGGUCUUCUCAUGCAUACAUGAGAGCGAUUCUGCUAAUAUGAGUAAUAAGAGAGCUACGCCUCUCUCCAGACACUAACGUACAUCAAAACGAACCCACAUCGAAAAUUAAUGGCCCCAAACAAAGAGAGCCCUGAUAAACCUAAACAGAUAACUAGAAAACUAAUCAACAUACACCAUUAACUCUACACUUAGUGUAAUAAAGGAAAGACUAAAAUAAAGAGAAGGGAAUUCAGCAAACAUAGGCUCCGCCUGUUUACCAAAAACAUCGCCUCUUGCCCCCCCCCAAUAUAAGAGGUCCCACCUGCCCCCUGACUAUAUGUUCAACGGCCACGGUAUCCUAACCGUGCAAAGGUAGCGCAAUCAUUUGUCUUCUAAUUAAAGACCUGUAUGAACGGCAUAACGAGAGCUUACCUGUCUCCUCUUUAAAGUCAAUAAAAUUGAUCUCCCCGUGCAGAAGCGAGGAUAAACACAUAAGACGAGAAGACCCUGUGGAGCUUUAGGCACUAAAAUAAUGUACACAUUACACAAACAUUCAUCUUAUUUCAAUGCCUUCGGUUGGGGCGACCAAGGAGAAUUAACCAACCCCCACGUGGAAUAGAAGUACUCCUUCUCAAACCAAGAGUUACAACUCUAACCAAUAGAACUUCUAACCAUUCAACACAAGACCCGGCAACGCCGAUCUACGAACUAAGUUACCCCAGGGAUAACAGCGCAAUCCCCUUUAAGAGCCCAUAUCGACAAGGGGGUUUACGACCUCGAUGUUGGAUCAGGACACCCCAAUGGUGCAUCCGUUAUUAAAGGUUCGUUUGUUCAACGAUUAAAGUCCUACGUGAUCUGAGUUCAGACCGGAGUAAUCCAGGUCAGUUUCUAUCUAUGUUAUACUUUUUUCUAGUACGAAAGGACCGAAAAAAGAGGGCCCAUACCUAAAGCAAGCCCUACCCCCAACCCCUGAAACAAACUAAAGCGGUAUAAGGAUAUAUCCCUACAAACCCAAGAGAUUGGUAU